rnacentral:rRNA from 1 species
GAUGAACGCUGGCGGCGUGCUUAACACAUGCAAGUCGAACGGAAAGGCCCAAGCUUGCUUGGGUACUCGAGUGGCGAACGGGUGAGUAACACGUGGGUGAUCUGCCCUGCACUUCGGGAUAAGCCUGGGAAACUGGGUCUAAUACUGGAUAGGACCACUUCUUGGAUGUUGUGGUGGAAAGUUUUUUCGGUGUGGGAUGAGCUCGCGGCCUAUCAGCUUGUUGGUGGGGUAAUGGCCUACCAAGGCGUCGACGGGUAGCCGGCCUGAGAGGGUGUACGGCCACAUUGGGACUGAGAUACGGCCCAGACUCCUACGGGAGGCAGCAGUGGGGAAUAUUGCACAAUGGGCGCAAGCCUGAUGCAGCGACGCCGCGGGGGGGAUGACGGCCUUCGGGUUGUAAACUCCUUUCGCUAGGGACGAAGCGUUUUGUGACGGUACCUGGAGAAGAAGCACCGGCUAACUACGUG